AUUGAACGCUGGCGGCAGGCCUAACACAUGCAAGUCGAGCGAGCGGCGGACGGGUGAGUAAUGUCUGGGAAACUGCCUGAUGGAGGGGGAUAACUACUGGAAAAGGUAGCUAAUACCGCAUACCAUCAGAUGUUCCCAGAGGGGGUUAGCUAUUGGGUGGGGUAACGGCUCACCUAGGCGACGAUCCCUAGCUGGUUUGAGAGGAGGACCAGCCAAACUGGAACUGAGACACGGUCCAGACUCCUACGGGAGGCAGCAGUGGGGAAUAUUGCACAAGGGGCGAAAGCCUGAUGCAGCAAUGCCGCGGGGGUGAAGAAGGCUUUCGGGUUUUAAAGCACUUUCAGCGGGGAGGCGUUACCCGCAGAAGAAGCACCGGCUAACUCCGUGCCAGCAGCCGCGGUAAUAC
rnacentral:rRNA from 1 species